UACGUAGGGGGCUAGCGUUGUCCGGAUUUAUUGGGCGUAAAGAGUUCGUAGGUGGUUCGGUAAGUCGGAUGUGAAAUCUCCAGGCUCAACCUGGAGGGGUCAUCCGAAACUGCCUUGCUCGAGUAUGGGAGAGGGAAGUGGAAUUUCCGGUGUAGCGGUGAAAUGCGUAGAUAUCGGAAGGAACAUCAGUGGCGAAGGCGACUUCCUGGACCAAUACUGACGCUCAGGUGCGAAAGCGUGGGGAGCAAACAGG
rnacentral:rRNA from 1 species